rnacentral:rRNA from 1 species
AACGAACGCUGGCGGCAUGCCUAACACAUGCAAGUCGAACGAGAUCUUCGGGUCUAGUGGCGCACGGGUGCGUAACGCGUGGGAAUCUGCCCUUUGGUUCGGAAUAACAGUUGGAAACGACUGCUAAUACCGGACGAUGACGAAAGUCCAAAGAUUUAUCGCCAGAGGAUGAGCCCGCGUAGGAUUAGCUAGUUGGUGUGGUAAAGGCGCACCAAGGCGACGAUCCUUAGCUGGUCUGAGAGGAUGAUCAGCCACACUGGGACUGAGACACGGCCCAGACUCCUACGGGAGGCAGCAGUGGGGAAUAUUGGACAAUGGGCGAAAGCCUGAUCCAGCAACGCCGCGUGAGUGAUGAAGGCCUUAGGGUUGUAAAGCUCUUUUACCCGGGAUGAUAAUGACAGUACCGGGAGAAUAAGCUCCGGCUAUCUCCGUGCCAGCCGCCGCCGUAA